rnacentral:rRNA from 1 species
UACAGAGGUCUCAAGCGUUGUUCGGAUUCAUUGGGCGUAAAGGGUGUCGUAGGCGGCGCCGGUAAGUCGGGUGUGAAAUUCGGAGCUUAACUCCGAAACUGCAUUCGAUACUGCGGUGCUUGAGGACUGGAGAGGAGACUGGAAAUUUAUGGUGUAGCAGUGAAAUGCGUAGAGAUCAUGAAGGAAGACCAGUGGCGAAGGCGGGUCUCUGGACAGUUCCUGACACUGAGACACGAAGGCCAGGGGAGCAAACGGG